GCCCAUGUAGUCUACUUAAGAUUUAACACUGAAGAUGUUAAGAUGGGCCCUAGAAAGUCCCAUGAGCAC
rnacentral:tRNA from 3 species